GCCUGAUCCAGCAMUGCCGCGUGCAGGAUGAAGGCCUUCGGGUUGUAAACUGCUUUUGUACGGAACGAAAAAGCUUCUCCUAAUACGAGAGGCCCAUGACGGUACCGUAAGAAUAAGCACCGGCUAACUACGUGCCAGCAGCCGCGGUAAUACGUAGGGUGCGAGCGUUAAUCGGAAUUACUGGGCGUAAAGCGUGCRCAGGCGGUUAUGUAAGACAGAUGUGAAAUCCCCGGGCUCAACCUGGGAACUGCAUUUGUGACUGCAUGGCUAGAGUACGGUAGAGGGGGAUGGAAUUCCGCGUGUAGCAGUGAAAUGCGUAGAUAUGCGGAGGAACACCGAUGGCGAAGGCAAUCCCCUGGACCUGUACUGACGCUCAUGCACGAAAGCGUGGGGAGCAAACAGGAUUAGAUACCCUGGUAGUCCACGCCCUAAACGAUGUCAACUGGUUGUUGGGAAUUAGUUUUCUCAGUAACGAAGCUAACGCGUGAAGUGACCGC
rnacentral:rRNA from 1 species